AAUUUUCAGAUUUGCUUAGUCAGAUAAUAUUCUAUGGUUUUGAUGAUGAUUCUUUCUCUUAUUUUAUAUAAAUAUAUAUUUUUUUUCUUCAUAGUUAAUCUAGUAAAUAAUAGUAGAAUAAUUGCUCUAGCAGCUACAAAGAGGUUUUCUACACCUGCACAAGAGAUUCUUAUGGAAGAUUGAUAUGCUUGCUGACAAGAAUCUAAAGAAUAACUAUGAUCAAUCUGAUGCUGAAGAGAUGGUCUGCAUGCUUGAAUUAUUCUAAAGAAUAAUUCAAUUGAUGCAGUUGGUAGUAGAAAAUAUUUCCCCAAACCUCAAGUCACCUUAAAACACCAUAAACAUCAGUUGGAAAAAUCCACAUUUUGGGAAGAACUACUGAAUCAAAGUUGCUAUGAUUGCAUUAAGCAGCAUCAAAAGUGAAUCUUGAUCAUCUCCCUUCUGUACUGUUGCCAUUAACAGUGCUAAGAUGGACAAAGGGAAGGCCACCAUGACAACUGAGGGUUGAUUUGGAUAAGGGUUUGCAGGAGGCCCUUUGAUGGGGAUUAGAACACUUGGAUGGUGGCAACUGGACAAGGAUUUGACUCCAUCAUGUCCUACCAAUUCAUGGAUAAGUCAAAGCAAACUUUGAUGGUG
rnacentral:lncRNA from 1 species